rnacentral:rRNA from 1 species
AGAGUUUGAUCAUGGCUCAGGGUUAACGCUGGCGGCGCGCAUAACACAUGCAAGUCGAGCGAGGGCUCAUUUCCCGCAAGGGAGAUGGGUUCCUAGCGGCGAACGGGUGAGUAACACGUGGGCAACCUUUCCUAUCGCGGGGGAUAACAGCGGGAAACCGCUGCUAAUACCGCAUGUCGUCAUCGGUCGCAUGGCCGGUGAAAAAAGCAGCAAUGCACGAUGGGGUGGGCCCGCGGCCUAUCAGCUAGUCGGUGGGGUAACGGCCUACCGAGGCGAUGACGGGUAGCUGGUCUGAGAGGACGACCAGCCACACGGGGACUGAGACACGGCCCCGACUCCUACGGGAGGCAGCAGUGAGGAAUCUUCCGCAAUGGGCGAAAGCCUGACGGAGCGACGCCGCGUGUGGGAUGAAGUCCUUCGGGAUGUAAACCACUGUUGGUGGGGAAGACAACUGACGGUACCCACCGAGAAAGCCCCGGCUAACUACGUGCCAGCAGCCGCGGUAAUACGUAGGGGGCUAGCGUUAUCCAGAAUUACUGGGCGUAAAGCGCGUGUAGGCGGCUGGUUAAGUGUGAUGUGAAAUCUUCGGGCUCAACCCGAAAACUGCAUUGCAAACUGGCCUGGCUAGAGUGCAGGAGAGGGAAGCGGAAUUCCAGGUGUAGCGGUGAAAUGCGUAGAUAUCUGGAGGAACACCAGUGGCGAAGGCGGCUUCCUGGCCUGUAACUGACGCUGAGACGCGAAAGCGUGGGGAGCGAACCGGAUUAGAUACCCGGGUAGUCCACGCCCUAAACGUUGCGAACUAGGUGUUGGUCGGAUUGACCCGAUCAGUGCCGCAGCUAACGCAUUAAGUUCGCCGCCUGGGGACUACGGCCGCAAGGUUAAAACUCAAAGGAAUAGGCGGGGGCCCGCACAAGCAGCGGAGCGUGUGGUUUAAUUCGAGGCAACGCGAAGAACCUUACCUGGGCUUGACAUGUAGAGGAAACGCUGGUGAAAGCCAGCGCCCCUCGCA